CUUGUCUCGUGUGUGUGUGUCCUGACAAAGAUGUCUACCUACUUCUGUUCAUACUCGGUAAUCUGGUGAUACCGCCCAUGAUGUCAUGCUGGUGUUAGCCCACAAGGUGGUGCUGUCAAGCUAUCAUUGGAUCUUCAAUCCACCAGACGAGCUCUCCUGGUCGCCACACAGCAGUAAGCAAGAUGUUCCUGGAGCUGAGUCACCUCUGUCACCAUCU